GCCUCUCUGAGGAGUCGGGGCUUUUUUGAGCGUGUGGAGUCCCUUCCCAUGAUCCAUUAAGUUGCCAGCAUCUAUCCAGGCCCGCUUGCCAGUGGACGCCAGGAACUUCUGCCGGUAGUAACUAGAAGACAAAAGAUGGCGCAGUGUCACCAAACACUCUGCACACAGGACAGCUAUAACCAGUGAACAGCCCUUUUCGCCUUCUUUAAAGGGGGCUAGCAAAGGGGAAUGGAGCUUGUGUCCUUUUCCUGCUUUAUGUUGCAUAGAGGAGGCUGGGGAGGAUUUGAAACUUUUUUUUUCCUAUUUUUAAUUUUUUUUUAACUUUAGCAUAAAUUCAGCUCUUACGUCUCCUUGGAGACUCUGUGGACAGCUAGAGAACUGGUCGGAUUAUGGUACCUGCAAUAUCUAGAAACAGAAUCCUGAUUCACCAUGAGAAGGAAGGGAUUUCUACUCAGAUAGAUUAACGCUCUUUGGAUCCCAUUGGGGUACUCUGGUUCAGGCUGAAUAGCACUGUACCCUGCUGAUUUCUGUAAGACUGCUCAUGGCGGAAGAGACGGUUCAUUGAGAGGAAGAGUAACCGAGUCUAGCGCCCUUGUUUUUCCAAAGCAUCUUAAAACACUUGGGAGAAGGGCUCUCUGUCUUCAGGAUUCAGCUCCCCGCCCUGCUGAUAAGGGCAGAGAAAGCUCUGAGACCAUACCUCCAAGUCCUCCAACCAGACCCGGACAGGCAAGACUUGAAAACCGUACUCCUAAGGGUGAAAAAAUCCUUUCUAGGCCUUCUCUACCCAUCAUAAGGAAGCAAACCACAGCACCUCUUUUUCUUUGCAGGUCACCUUUAAAGAUAGGUUGCCGAUCCUGAUUUAGCCCGGAGGUCGGCCCCCGCUACCCACAGCUUUCCUUCACACAGCCUGCAGCCAUCCUCAUCUUUCAUACCCUGGAAAGGCGUAGCUUGCCAAGGAGAAUCCGGCAGACAAUGCUCCAGCUUGAUGCAAGCAGCCAGGCUGGGAGGCUUAGGCACUGUUCUGGAGAGCCGACAUUUCCACCAGCUUUGACAGGACCUCAAAGAACAGGAUUCCUGAGGCGUCGACGGAAUCAAGGUCCUCCAUGCUGCCUUUCUCGGGGGCUGGGGAGGAGAUGCAAGUCAAUCAGAGCGCCCACCCCACCAACCCAUCUCCUUCAGAGACCCCAGUCAGCACCAGGUACCUCCAACAACAUUUGGCUGGGAAAAGUACGGUAUAUGCAUGUGUGGGAGCAUGUCUCCUGCCUGGUGCACUGGGGCAAGUGCUAGCUACACCUGUAGCAAGGGGUACUUCUCACUGCCCUCUCCCAUCGCCCAAGGAAGCAUAGUAUCUCCAGAUAAUGCUGCUCCCCCUCCGCUUUGGAAGAGGCAGAUUUGGUCCUGGUAUUCCAGCCAGAGAGACUCAGAUUGAGUAUGUGGAGCACAGCCUGGCUAUCUGAACCCUGCUUAUAGGCCCCAGGGUUCCUGGGCUCCCCGUCAUCACUCCCCUUUCAUGGUGAUUCCUCCUCAUGAGCCAGGCUACCUUGGGGAGUUGUGCCAGUGCCUGCACUCGUCUCUGUGCCCCCAGGCCCCUCAGCAUGGAGCUCAGCAGCUGCCUCCUCCCCCUGAGUUGAGCUGUCAAGGCUUUGUACAGCUGUUUUGAAUGGGGACCUGCUGUGCGCGAGCUCGUUCUUUGGGGGACCCCAGAUGCUGAUGUCCGAGUCCACAUCACGUGAACUCCCAAUUGCCCCAAGGUUCAGGAAACACCAAUGCCCCUACGCAAGUGGGAUUUUCUGGCCACACACUAACAUCGCCUGCGGGACCGUGGCCAAUCCCAUUGGCUGGGCCCGGCUCACCGCACUCACCUAUAGCCUGGAUGAAGCGCUUGUUGUCGCUGACAAUGGUCAGAAAAUCAGAGAAGUUCACCUUCCCAUCUCCUGCAAGACCGGGCCCUCCACUGCUCCAGCUGGAGUUAGCACAAACCUCUGCCAGACAGCAAGCGAUGGACCCCCUCAUCCCAAUGCCCAGGGCCCAGGGGGCAGAGGUCAGGAUGUUGUGGCACCUUUAACUCUCUCAGCUCCUGGUUUUCUAGGCUUUGAGAUCUCACCCUUGAUGUAGCCUUAAUGUGCUUUCUUUGUACUCCCUACAGGAGUCACGUUCUGUAACCAGGUGCAGGAGAUGAUGAGUUAAAGGCACGCGGAAGAGCUGGUGCAAGUUCCCAGCUUGUCACAGACUCGCUGGGUUGCCUCUGGCAAGUCACCAACUGCCGACCUAAUCCUUCCUUCCUCUUACCCUCUGUCUUGCCUAUUUAGACUGUAAACUCCCCAGGGCAGGGACUGCUUCAUGUGACAUGUAGGAACAGUGUCUAGCACCACACCCUGCUCUCCCCCAGUGCCAGGAGUUUCAAGGGAGCACAACACCACACACUCACAAACACAGAUCCUUGGAAUGUACCACUGUGGACUAAACCAGGGAUGAUUGUGUACACUCACCAUCCAUAU